CUAUGAAAGAGGAACUCUUAAUGGUACCAUUGCAGUGACAGGAAGAACCACAGUUCAGUGCCUUUAUUUGCAUCCUGCUGUGUUGUGAAGCCGCGCUGAACUCGCGCAUGCGCGCGGAACUUGAGUCGGUGUUAAACUUCACGUGAGACUCUGAAAAUUAACAUGACGGUAUAUUUCACUCACCCGUGAUGGUCUCCGUUAACUUCACCUGCGCGUGCGGUCAACCCGAAAUUAAUAAAUAAAUAAGAGAUGCGCUGCCCUGGAGACCCCACGCGCCGACCAAUCAGCAAUUGUUAAGCGUCAUGACGUCAAAGCGAGGAUGGUUUGUAAAGAUAUACUGGAGACACUGAGAAUGGCACACAGUCUCGAGAGCAGCAGACAUCAGGAGAAUCUCUAAGCCCAGAAGAUCUCCAUCAGCUCCUCCAGUGGACGCUCCAGAGUAUCCAUGAAGGAAUGGAAGGGCAUGUUGAUGAUGUAAAUGAGGAUGUGACUGGUCUUUAUAGGCUACCGAAGACAGAGAGAGGUCGAGGGGGCGUUCAUUUAAAAAUAUCUGGCUUUAAAUGAUUCGGUGGUGUUAUCAGAUACGUAAGGAUUUUUUUUUUUAGGGCGAACUCACAUUUCAGUUCAGCUGGUUGUAUUUCUUCUGUGCCUUUAUGCACUUUCACAUACAGUAUAUUCACUCAUGAUAUUAUGUAGAAGAUUUAUAUUAUCACAUACACACAAAGUGUUUUGGAUAUGAGGAGGUAAACAGUGUGUAUGUAUAACUUUUCUCUUUAUUUGCUUGAACACAGGAAAAGAACAGGUUUGUGUUACCAAAUUAAAAUUAUUAUUAUUAUUAUUAUUAUUAUUAUUAUUAUUGCUGCUAGUAUUAUACAAAUGAUACUAAGAAAAUGGUUUUGUCUUGUUGUUUAAAGUUAAAUUUAACAACAACAGAAGAUUCUUAGCACAUUGGCAAAGCUACAGUUUACUCAGGUGUAGUAUUUUAAACCAUUCAGUAUGUAGUGAACUCAGUGUGUGAAAUACGGGGGUCCUUAAGCGUUUUAAUUACAUUCAGUAUAUUACUGGAUUUUACAGAAGGACAUAAAUGUAGUGCACACGUUUACAAUCUGUAAUGCUAAGUUUAACCAUUUAUGUUCUUCUAUACAAGCGUUCACUUCCUGUCAUUACUGUGGAUUAUAAACAUGGUCCAAUAGCUAAUUAGGUGAAAGCAAUACAUGAGGCACUGAUUAGAACAUUUUAGAGUGCAUUUUCACAUCUGUGCUCCACCUUUCUGAUCUAAAACCCAAGCUGAAAUAUUCAUUGUUUUGUCUCUCACUGCUUUU